UGGAAAACUGGGGAUAAUACCCGAUAGAUCUCGGAGGCUGGAAUGCAUCGAGAUCUAAAGCUCCGGCGCCCGAGGAUGGAUCUGCGGCCUAUCAGGUAGUAGUGGGUGUAGCGUACCUACUAGCCUACGACGGGUACGGGUUGUGAGAGCAAGAGCCCGGAGAUGGAUUCUGAGACACGAAUCCAGGCCCUACGGGGUGCAGCAGGCGCGAAAACUUUACAAUGCUGGCAACAGCGAUAAGGGGACCUCGAGUGCCAGGUUACAAAUCUGGCUGUCGAGAUGCCUAAAAAGCAUUUCAUAGCAAGGGCCGGGCAAGACCGGUGACAGCCGCCGCGGUAAUA
rnacentral:rRNA from 1 species